CCUACGGGGGGCAGCAGUGGGGAAUAUUGCACAAUGGGGGAAACCCUGAUGCAGCGACGCCGCGUGAGUGAAGAAGUAUUUCGGUAUGUAAAGCUCUAUCAGCAGGGAAGAAAAUGACGGUACCUGACUAAGAAGCCCCGGCUAACUACGUGCCAGCAGCCGCGGUAAUACGUAGGGGGCAAGCGUUAUCCGGAUUUACUGGGUGUAAAGGGAGCGUAGACGGCAUGGCAAGUCAGAUGUGAAACCCAUGGGCUCAACCCAUGGCCUGCAUUUGAAACUGUAGUUCUUGAGUGAUGGAGAGGCAG
rnacentral:rRNA from 1 species